GGUGCCUCGGGAGGGCAUGGGCCAGGCCACAUAAUGAGCCAAACCCCUGUCUACCCGCAG
ensembl:miRNA MIR6771 microRNA 6771